AAGUCGUAACAAGGUCUCCGUAGGUGAACCUGCGGAGGGAUCAUUACAAGUGACCCCGGUCUAACCACCGGGAUGUUCAUAACCCUUUGUUGUCCGACUCUGUUGCCUCCGGGGCGACCCUGCCUUCGGGCGGGGGCUCCGGGUGGACACUUCAAACUCUUGCGUAACUUUGCAGUCUGAGUAAAUUUAAUUAAUAAAUUAAAACUUUUAACAACGGAUCUCUUGGUUCUG
rnacentral:misc_RNA from 1 species